CUCAACUCCUGCCUCCUUCUCUCUCAUUUAACCAAGAUUCAUUCACGAUCCACGGCUCGCGGGGUUUCUCCGUUGGCUGCUAGAUAUGGGUGGUCCGAAGGCCAGGACCUAGGUACUACUCAUGCUCAUGAUUCCCAUGUGUGGCGUGAUAUCACCAAGGGGAUCCCCCUCUUUCGGAGCUUAACGAAAGUGGACGUCGGCAACGGUACUUCCACCGCCUUCUGGCUUGAUCUCUGGGUUCCGCACUCUUCAGAUAUUCUUGCUUCACGGUACCCUGCUCUGUUCUCUCAUGUUCUCUGACCCUCGGCUUCUGUUGCCAGGGUUCUAAGCUCACCGGAUCUGUGCCUCGAUCUCGCUCCACGCCUAACUAAUGCUGCUGAACUUGAACUGGGCUACCUACGCAACUUCCUGGCUUCUGUUUCCUUGAAUUUGCAGGAACCAGACUGCUGA
rnacentral:rRNA from 1 species